rnacentral:ncRNA from 2 species
CUGCCCAGGGUAAGUCGGGACCUAAGGCGAGGCCGACAGGCGUAGUCGAUGGAUAACCGGUUGAUAUUCCGGUACCCGCUGUGAAGCGUCAAACAUCGAGCAUCGUGAUGCUAAGGCCGUGAAGCCGCCCCUGAUCUCUUCGGAGUGAGGGGGAGUGGUGGAGCCGCCGGCCCAAGCGGUUAGUAGGUGAGUGAUGGGGUGACGCAGGAAGGUAGUCCAUCCCGGGCGGUGGUUGUCCCGGGGUAAGGGUGUAGGCCGUGCGAUAGGCAAAUCCGUCGCACAUUGAGGCUGAGACCUGAUGCCGAGCCGAUUGUGGUGAAGUGGAUGAUCCUAUGCUGUCGAGAAAAGCCUCUAGCGAGUUUCAUGGCGGCCCGUACCCUAAACCGA